ACAAACCAACACAAUGAGAUUACUUCAAGUGGUGGCACUAAUUCUUAAAUGCAAUGAAAAGUGCUUCUCUUUGGGGUAGUCUCAGAAGUGAUCAGCAUGUUUGGCAUGUUUGUUUCAGACAUAUACAUGUAAGUGCAGAAGAUGCUUCAGAGAAAGGAGACAGACUGAUACCUCAACUCUAGUAACUCUCUCAUCAAAUGUCAAAGAAAGUGCUAUCAAGUUGGGGUGUUGGUCUGGAUUAAAGCCAUGGUCUCUCAGCAGUAUAUGAUGCCCAUCUGUGAGAUAUGUUGCUAUGGUCAAUUGGAGUCAACAUCCUGAUGGAGGACAUCUUGGGCCAUUAAAGGUGCAGAAGAUGCCUCAGAGAAAGGAGACAGACUGAUACCUCAACUCUAGUAACUCUCUCAUCAAAUGUCAAAGAAAGUGCUAUCAAGUUGGGGUGUUGGUCUGGAUUAAAGCCAUGGUCUCUCAGCAGUAUAUGAUGCCCAUCUGUGAGAUAUGUUGCUAUGGUCAAUUGGAGUCAACAUCCUGAUGGAGGACAUCUUGGGCCAUUAAAGGUGCAGAAGAUGCCUCAGAGAAAGGAGACAGACUGAUACCUCAACUCUAGUAACUCUCUCAUCAAAUGUCAAAGAAAGUGCUAUCAAGUUGGGGUGUUGGUCUGGAUUAAAGCCAUGGUCUCUCAGCAGUAUAUGAUGCCCAUCUGUGAGAUAUGUUGCUAUGGUCAAUUGGAGUCAACAUCCUGAUGGAGGACAUCUUGGGCCAUUAAAGGGGAGGGGCUCUAAAUUACCUGGGAAGGAGCAGGGCUGCUGUAUGCUUUAAAAGCUGUGCAGAAGAAACAUAUCUCCACUUACCAAAGCUGAAGGGAACAUCCACAAUGCACUGCUGCUUGGAGGGAGUCUAGAAAUUGGCCUGGGACACAUCUUUGGACAUAUACAUGUAAGUGCAGAAGAUGCUUCAGAGAAAGGAGACAGACUGAUACCUCAACUCUAGUAACUCUCUCAUCAAAUGUCAAAGAAAGUGCUAUCAAGUUGGGGUGUUGGUCUGGAUUAAAGCCAUGGUCUCUCAGCAGUAUAUGAUGCCCAUCUGUGAGAUAUGUUGCUAUGGUCAAUUGGAGUCAACAUCCUGAUGGAGGACAUCUUGGGCCAUUAAAGGGUAUUGCCUGUACAUGAUUGCAAUUAUGCAAAGAUUCCCUUAAUCUCCCCAGCAUUCACACUUUUUAGAAAUGUGUGAAUAUCUGCCAAGUUAAGAAGAAAUGCUGACCAAUGUCUCUGAUUGGGGGUGUGUCUGAGGGAGGGGCUCUAAAUUACCUGGGAAGGAGCAGGGCUGCUGUAUGCUUUAAAAGCUGUGCAGAAGAAACAUAUCUCCACUUACCAAAGCUGAAGGGAACAUCCACAAUGCACUGCUGCUUGGAGGGAGUCUAGAAAUUGGCCUGGGACACAUCUUUGGACAUAUACAUGUAAGUGCAGAAGAUGCUUCAGAGAAAGGAGACAGACUGAUACCUCAACUCUAGUAACUCUCUCAUCAAAUGUCAAAGAAAGUGCUAUCAAGUUGGGGUGUUGGUCUGGAUUAAAGCCAUGGUCUCUCAGCAGUAUAUGAUGCCCAUCUGUGAGAUAUGUUGCUAUGGUCAAUUGGAGUCAACAUCCUGAUGGAGGACAUCUUGGGCCAUUAAAGGUGCAGAAGAUGCCUCAGAGAAAGGAGACAGACUGAUACCUCAACUCUAGUAACUCUCUCAUCAAAUGUCAAAGAAAGUGCUAUCAAGUUGGGGUGUUGGUCUGGAUUAAAGCCAUGGUCUCUCAGCAGUAUAUGAUGCCCAUCUGUGAGAUAUGUUGCUAUGGUCAAUUGGAGUCAACAUCCUGAUGGAGGACAUCUUGGGCCAUUAAAGGUGCAGAAGAUGCCUCAGAGAAAGGAGACAGACUGAUACCUCAACUCUAGUAACUCUCUCAUCAAAUGUCAAAGAAAGUGCUAUCAAGUUGGGGUGUUGGUCUGGAUUAAAGCCAUGGUCUCUCAGCAGUAUAUGAUGCCCAUCUGUGAGAUAUGUUGCUAUGGUCAAUUGGAGUCAACAUCCUGAUGGAGGACAUCUUGGGCCAUUAAAGGUGCAGAAGAUGCUUCAGAGAAAGGAGACAGACUGAUACCUCAACUCUAGUAACUCUCUCAUCAAAUGUCAAAGAAAGUGCUAUCAAGUUGGGGUGUUGGUCUGGAUUAAAGCCAUGGUCUCUCAGCAGUAUAUGAUGCCCAUCUGUGAGAUAUGUUGCUAUGGUCAAUUGGAGUCAACAUCCUGAUGGAGGACAUCUUGGGCCAUUAAAGGUGCAGAAGAUGCCUCAGAGAAAGGAGACAGACUGAUACCUCAACUCUAGUAACUCUCUCAUCAAAUGUCAAAGAAAGUGCUAUCAAGUUGGGGUGUUGGUCUGGAUUAAAGCCAUGGUCUCUCAGCAGUAUAUGAUGCCCAUCUGUGAGAUAUGUUGCUAUGGUCAAUUGGAGUCAACAUCCUGAUGGAGGACAUCUUGGGCCAUUAAAGGGUAUUGCCUGUACAUGAUUGCAAUUAUGCAAAGAUUCCCUUAAUCUCCCCAGCAUUCACACUUUUUAGAAAUGUGUGAAUAUCUGCCAAGUUAAGAAGAAAUGCUGACCAAUGUCUCUGAUUGGGGGUGUGUCUGAGGGAGGGGCUCUAAAUUACCUGGGAAGGAGCAGGGCUGCUGUAUGCUUUAAAAGCUGUGCAGAAGAAACAUAUCUCCACUUACCAAAGCUGAAGGGAACAUCCACAAUGCACUGCUGCUUGGAGGGAGUCUAGAAAUUGGCCUGGGACACAUCUUUGGACAUAUACAUGUAAGUGCAGAAGAUGCUUCAGAGAAAGGAGACAGACUGAUACCUCAACUCUAGUAACUCUCUCAUCAAAUGUCAAAGAAAGUGCUAUCAAGUUGGGGUGUUGGUCUGGAUUAAAGCCAUGGUCUCUCAGCAGUAUAUGAUGCCCAUCUGUGAGAUAUGUUGCUAUGGUCAAUUGGAGUCAACAUCCUGAUGGAGGACAUCUUGGGCCAUUAAAGGGUAUUGCCUGUACAUGAUUGCAAUUAUGCAAAGAUUCCCUUAAUCUCCCCAGCAUUCACACUUUUUAGAAAUGUGUGAAUAUCUGCCAAGUUAAGAAGAAAUGCUGACCAAUGUCUCUGAUUGGGGGUGUGUCUGAGGGAGGGGCUCUAAAUUACCUGGGAAGGAGCAGGGCUGCUGUAUGCUUUAAAAGCUGUGCAGAAGAAACAUAUCUCCACUUACCAAAGCUGAAGGGAACAUCCACAAUGCACUGCUGCUUGGAGGGAGUCUAGAAAUUGGCCUGGGACACAUCUUUGGACAUAUACAUGUAAGUGCAGAAGAUGCUUCA